UCCGGGGCUUAGUGCCGCAGCUAACGCAUUAAGCACUCCGCCUGGGGAGUACGACCGCUAGGUUGAAACUCAAAGGAAUUGACGGGGGCCCGCACAAGCGGUGGAGCAUGUGGUUUAAUUCGAAGCAACGCGAAGAACCUUACCAGGUCUUGACAUCCCUCUGAUCGCUCUAGGGAUAGAGUUUUCCUUCGGGACAGAGGUGACAGGUGGUGCAUGGUUGUCGUCAGCUCGUGUCGUGAGAUGUUGGGUUAAGUCCCGCAACGAGCACAACCCCUAUUGUUAGUUGCCAUCAUUCAGUUGGGCACUCUAGCGAGACUGCCGGUAAUAAACCGGAGGAAGGUGGGGAUGACGUCAAAUCAUCAUGCCCCUUAUGACCUGGGCUACACACGUGCUACAAUGGCUGGUACAACGAGUCGCAAGCCGGUGACGGCAAGCUAAUCUCUGAAAGCCAGUCUCAGUUCGGAUUGUAGGCUGCAACUCGCCUACAUGAAGUCGGAAUCGCUAGUAAUCGCGGAUCAGCACGCCGCGGUGAAUACGUUCCCGGGCCUUGUNCACA
rnacentral:rRNA from 1 species